ACGCUCUAUUUAUGAAUCCGUUCACUCCUUUUUAAUUAUUCGCUCGUUUGUUCAUUUUUUUAUUUUAUUUUUUUCAGUUAGCAAAACAGCAGCUAAAAAUAAAGCAAAUGUUCAAGAGAAAGAGAAAGAGACAGCAAUUUCUAAGGCGCAAGAAGUUAAGCCUGAAUUGAGUAAUAUAUCCAUUGGUGAUGACAUAUCGAAAGAUUUUAUAGAAUCGGAUAAACAAAUCAUAAGCAACAUAACAGCUAGUAUAUGUGAUGAAAAAAGGAAGUUUAACAAUCAUUUAAUUAUUAACACACUCGAUUUGUCACUAGUCGUGUAUAAUAAAAUUGUUCGUCAUUUUUUACUUGGAAGCUUAAAAAGUAGUCAGACAUGUUUUGAUAAUACAAAUUUAAGGAGGACUGAUGAGCCUCAUGAUUUUUUCGGAGGUAACAAGAAAAAAAGGAAAAUAAAAAUAAGUAAAUGUUUAAAUAAAUUUGCGAUUAAUAAAAAAAUAUAUAAUGCAUAUUGUACGAAGAAUGCAUAUUUUUUACUUAUCCUAUGUUUAUAUAUUUAUUUAUUUAUUUAUCUAUUUAUAUACUCGUUUGCUCAUUUAUUCACCUGUUUGUUUAUAUUUUUUUAGUUAAUAUUAGCAAACAUGUGACUAGCUUUGAUGAUUUAAAAAAAAAUUAUGUAUAAUUUGAAGCGGAUAUUAUACAAACUUGUGCAUAUGUAUGGAUGUAAUAACACAAAAGUAAAAGAAUAAAAGAUGCGAGUAUAAAUAUAAGUAACGUAUU
rnacentral:lncRNA from 1 species